rnacentral:rRNA from 1 species
GACGAACGCUGGCGGCGUGCUUAACACAUGCAAGUCGAGCGGAAAGGCCUCUUUCGGGGGGUACUCGAGUGGCGAACGGGUGAGUAACACGUGAGUAACCUGCCCUUGACUUUGGGAUAACUUCAGGAAACUGGGGCUAAUACCGGAUAGGAGCUCCUGCUGCAUGGUGGGGGUUGGAAAGUUUCGGCGGUUGGGGAUGGACUCGCGGCUUAUCAGCUUGUUGGUGGGGUAGUGGCUUACCAAGGCUUUGACGGGUAGCCGGCCUGAGAGGGUGACCGGCCACAUUGGGACUGAGAUACGGCCCAGACUCCUACGGGAGGCAGCAGUGGGGAAUAUUGCACAAUGGGUGGAAGCCUGAUGCAGCAACGCCGUGUGCGGGAUGACGGCCUUCGGGUUGUAAACCGCUUUCGCUCAUGACGAAGCUUUGUGUGACGGUAGUGGGUAAAGAAGCACCGGCUAUCUACGUG